UUUAUGGAGAGUUUGAUCCUGGCUCAGGAUGAACGCUGGCGGCGUGCCUAAUACAUGCAAGUCGAGCGAACAGAUGAGGAGCUUGCUCCUUUGACGUUAGCGGCGGACGGGUGAGUAACACGUGGGUAACCUACCUAUAAGACUGGAAUAACUCCGGGAAACCGGGGCUAAUGCCGGAUAACAUGU
rnacentral:rRNA from 1 species